rnacentral:rRNA from 1 species
UACGUAGGGGGCAAGCGUUGUCCGGAUUUAUUGGGCGUAAAGAGCGUGUAGGCGGCCAUGUAGGUCCGUUGUGAAAACUCGAGGCUCAACCAUUCGGAGACGCCGACUGGAAACCAUGUCGGUGACUAGAGUCCGGAAGAGGAGAGUGGAAUUCCUGGAUGUAGCGGUGAAAUGCGCAGAUAUCAAGGAAGAACACCCGUGGCUAAGGCGGCUCUCUAGUACGGUACUGACGCUGAGACGCGAAAGCGUGGGGAGCGAACAGGA